UAGGGAAUCUUCCGCAAUGGGCGAAAGCCUGACGGAGCAACGCCGCGUGAGUGAUGAAGGUCUUCGGAUUGUAAAACUCUGUUAUUAGGGAAGAACAAAUGUGUAAGUAACUAUGCACGUCUUGACGGUACCUAAUCAGAAAGCCACGGCUAACUACGUGCCAGCAGCCGCGGUAAUACGUAGGUGGCAAGCGUUAUCCGGAAUUAUUGGGCGUAAAGCGCGCGUAGGCGGUUUUUUAAGUCUGAUGUGAAAGCCCACGGCUCAACCGUGGAGGGUCAUUGGAGACUGGAAAGCUUGAGUGCGGAAGAGGAAAGUGGAAUUCCAUGUGUAGCGGUGAAAUGCGCAGAGAUAUGGAGGAACACCAGUGGCGAAGGCGACUUUCUGGGCUGUAACUGACGCUGAUGUGCGAAAGCGUGGGGAUCAAACAGG
rnacentral:rRNA from 1 species